AGUGAACGCUGGCGGUAGGCCUAACACAUGCAAGUCGAACGGCAGCACAGUAAGAGCUUGCUCUUACGGGUGGCGAGUGGCGGACGGGUGAGGAAUACAUCGGAAUCUACUUUUUCGUGGGGGAUAACGUAGGGAAACUUACGCUAAUACCGCAUACGAACUACGGGUGAAAGCUGGGGAUCUUCGUACCUUGCGCGAUUGAAUGAGCCGAGGUCGGAUUAGCUAGUUGGCGGGGUAAAGGCCCACCAAGGCGACGAUACGUAGCUGGUCUGAGAGGAUGAUCAGCCACACUGGAACUGAGACACGGUCCAGACUCCUACGGGAGGCAGCAGUGGGGAAUAUUGGACAAUGGGCGCAAGCCUGAUCCAGCCAUACCGCGUGAGUGAAGAAGGCCUUCGGGUUGUAAAGCCCUUUUGUUGGGAAAGAAAAGCAGCAGGUUAAUACCCCGCUGUUCUGACGGUACCCAAAGAAUAAGCACCGGCUAACUUCGUG
rnacentral:rRNA from 1 species